UACGUAGGAGACGAGCGUUGUUCGGAGUUACUGGGCGUAAAGGGUGCGUAGGCGGCUUUUUAAGUCUGGUGUGAAAUCUCCCGGCUCAACUGGGAGGGUGCGCCGGAUACUGAGGGGCUAGAGUGUGGGAGAGGAAAGUGGAAUUCCUGGUGUAGCGGUGAAAUGCGCAGAUAUCAGGAGGAACACCGGUGGCGAAGGCGGUGGCCUGGGCCGGAACUGACGCUGAGGAGCGAAAGCGUGGGGAGCAAACAGG
rnacentral:rRNA from 1 species